rnacentral:rRNA from 1 species
UGAGGAAUAUUGGUCAAUGGCCGGAAGGCUGAACCAGCCAAGUCGCGUGCGGGAUGAAGGCCUUCGGGUUGUAAACCGCUUUUGAUUGGGAGCAAGCGAGAGUGAGUGUACCUUUCGAAUAAGCACCGGCUAACUACGUGCCAGCAGCCGCGGUAAUACGUAGGGUGCAAGCGUUAUCCGGAAUUAUUGGGCGUAAAGAGCUCGUAGGCGGUUUGUCGCGUCUGGUGUGAAAGUCCAUCGCUUAACGGUGGAUCUGCGCCGGGUACGGGCAGGCUAGAGUGCGACAGGGGAGACUGGAAUUCCCGGUGUAACGGUGGAAUGUGUAGAUAUCGGGAAGAACACCAAUGGCGAAGGCAGGUCUCUGGGUCGUCACUGACGCUGAGGAGCGAAAGCGUGGGGAGCGAACAGGAUUAGAUACCC